GGUUCGAUUCCGGAGAGGGAGCCUGAGAAACGGCUACCACAUCCAAGGAAGGCAGCAGGCGCGCAAAUUACCCAAUCCAGACAUUGGGAGGUAGUGACGAGAAAUACUGAGGAUGUUCAAAUUGAAUGUCACUCGGGAUGAACGUAGCAUAAAACAUUCGAUGAGGAUCUACUGGAGGGCAAGUCUGGUGCCAGCAGCCGCGGUAAUUCCAGCUCCAGUAGUGUAUAUCAACAUUGUUGCAUUUAAAACGCUCGUAGUUGGAUUACAGGGUGUCAAAGCUGUGUGCUAAAAUUAUAGCCGCAGUGCCAGCUUUGUUGAGUAAUUUUGUCUAACAACUUUGCUGAACAUGGUUGGUGAUGCCUUUUUGUCGCACUGGCUCUAUCAUCAACUUUACUGGGGGUGUUAGACGCCGGUGGAGUGUGCCUUGAAUAAAGCAUAGUGCUCAAAGCAGGCGUACGCUCGUGUGUAAUAGCAUGGAACAGAUAACAGACUUGCAGCUUCGGCUGUCUCGAUUGUUGGUUGAGAGACUGGCAGUUGAGGGGUUCAUUUGUUGGUUGUGAACCGGGUCGCAUCGAUUAAAAGGGACAUUUGAGGGCAUUGGUACUUUGUGGCGAGAGGUGAAAUUCUUAGACCCACAGAAGACUGACUGGUGCGAAAGCGUUUGUCAAGAAUGUUUUCAUUAAUCAAGAACGAAGGUCAGAGGUUCGAAGACGAUCAGAUACCGUCCUAGUUUUGACAGCAAACGAUGCUAGCACAGGGCCAGGCUAUCCACCUUUAAAAGGAAGAGACGGCUUGGUCCUGCCGGGAAACCUCAAGCUUUCGAGUUACGGGGAGAGUAUAGCUUCAAGGCGGGAAUUUAAAGAAAUUGACGGAGAGGCACCACCAGGAGUGGAGCCUGCGGCUUAAUUUGACUCAACACGGGGAAACUCACCAGGUCCAGACAUUGGCAGGAUUGACAGGCUGAUAGACCUUUCAUGAUUCGGUGGAUGGUGGUGCAUGGCCGUUCUUAGUUGGUGGAGUGAUCUGUCAGGUCUAUUCCGGUAACGAGCGAGACCGCGGUCAGUAGUUUGCUGUUUACAUUUCGUCUUCGGACCUUUAGGCUUCAUUCGUGUUGUCUAAAGUUGUAGACGGCACUACUGGGACUACUGGACUCUAAGCCAGGGGAAGCGCGGCAAUAACAGGUCUGUGAUGCCCUUCGAUGUCCUGGGCUGCACGCGCGCUACAAUGGCAGCAGUAGAGAGUUUGAUUGGCAGAGAUGCCCAUCUAACCUGCAAAUAGCUGUCGUGAUAGGGAUUGUGCCUUGCAAUUAUUGCACAUGAAAGAGGAAUUCCUCGUAAGCACGGGUCAUCAGCCCGUGUUGAAUACGUCUCUGCCUCUUGUACACACCGCCCGUCGCUACUACCGAUUGAAUAUCAUCUAGAGCUGGCUAGACGGCUGCUGUAUUUAUACAGUGUGUUGGAA
rnacentral:rRNA from 1 species